CACAUAGCUAGAACAGCUUUUACAACUUUUUUUCAGCCAGUGAUGUUGAACUAUAUACUAUUGAUGCCAGGACUUGACCCUGAUCUGGAAUCUUCCUAGGUUAUCCUGCCAUGCCCCAGUUUUAAUGCCAGUAACUAGAUAGUAAGAUGAUCAAACCAACUAUGGAUGGGCAAUCCUAACUAGGACCAAGAAGGACUGGGGCAGUGGAGCUGUUGCUGCAUUGAAAGCCCUAAAGACUCUUGCUAGUCUUUGUUUUUUUGCUGUGCUAGCUCCAGGGCUGGCACAGCUGAGGAACCCAAAGUUCUGGUCCCUUGUGGGAACUGCAGACCUUUGGAUUCUGUAGGUCCUCCAGUGCUCUACCCCAACUCUGUUGGUAGUGGCCUCCUGCCAACCUGAGCAUAGCAGACGCCUCAGCUGCAGCACCAGCACCCCAGCAGCACUCCUCUCCUUUGGCAGAGAGGUUUGAGAGAAAUGAUUUCUGUUUAAAUCCAAGUCUGUGUCUAUGAAAGAAACAAUAUCCUUUGGAGGGUAUUAAUGCUGUGAACCUUUCCAUCACAGGCUCAGGUUGUAUAUAUGUGUAAAUAAGCCAUAUAUCACAAAGACGCCACAGCCUCCGCUGUGCCUCAUUCCAAAGGAAAACGUGAACCCUGGGUAAGAGCCUAGAACCCCUGGAAUCUUGCACCACUUGGAUAUUGGCCUGGCAUGCAAUAGUAUGUGAAUAACGCUAAUCACAUAUGUUUUUUUGUUUUCAAUGAUGCUGGUGUUUUGAAAUGACACUGGUUAGCAUUUAAGCAGCAAUGGGAGGGACAAAGGGCUGCAAGGGAGAAGCUUUGUCUGCUAACUUUGUCCGUAGUUUUCCAUAUGCUAAUACAGAAUCUAUUCCACAAUGCAAACAUUAAAAAACUGUUAUUAUUCAAGCUUAUAUCCACCCUUCCUCCACUGAGUUCAGAACUCAGGGUGGAAUACAUGGAUUCUGACUUACUUCUGUGCAGUGCUUUUUUCUGGGGAGAUGCAGGGGUACUCGUACCCCUAAACAUUUUGUGAAUCUUUGCACUUUUGUCCAUUUACUGUAUUUAUUUUCCCCGAUUUGAGCUAUAAAAUGGUGGUUUUCUUGAGUCAAAAUGAGAGUACCCCUAAACAUUUUUUAAUAGAAAAAAAGCACUGCUUCUGUGUAUCCUCACACAACAACUGUGUAAAAUAGAUUAAGGGUGUGUGUGUGUGUGAGAGAGAGAGAGAGAGAGAGAGAGAGAAAGAAAGAAAGCUGACUUUGUAAGGAAUUGCACUUUGGAAACUUCUCACUGUAACUGUCCUUUGAGAGUACAACUGAGUUCACUGUCCUGAAUUGGCUUCCAUAUAUAUAUAUAUAUAUAUAUAUAAUCAUUUUAUUAGAAUCAUUGAGUUGGAAGAUACCUUGGAGGUCCUCUGUGUAGGAUCUGAAAUACAAGACACACAAUCCUGGCAUCCGCUCAACAACCUCCAGCAAAGGAGAGCCCACCACUUACUGAGGCAGUUUUCAAGCACUUUUCAGGGGGAAAGCCCCACACAGAAUGUGAUUGAGUAGUUCCAACCUGGAUUAACCUGAUAACAUGAAAGACUGUGACCAGUUCAGAUAAUCUGUGGGCAGGAUUUCAUUCAUCUGUUUUAUUGUUCAGGGGGAGAUGGCGAGUUACGAAACCAACCAACAGAAAAUGCCAAGCACGCAAGUUAAAACCAGGCCAGUCUCACUUUGCUCUGCCAUCAUGUGGCAUAUGAAGGGUAUGAAGAGGGG
rnacentral:lncRNA from 1 species